GAUCUUUUCAGUUGUUGACUGACUGCCGUGCGUUCGCUUGUUGGUGUUAUCGUGCGCGUAAUCGGCCGGCUGAAUCAUGAGUGGAGUAGAACCUAUGGACCAGUACUCCGAGGGCUCGAAGAUCAACGCCAGCAAGAAUCUGCAGGAUGAAGGGAAGAUGUUCAUCGGAGGGUUGAGCUGGGACACGAGUAAGAAGGAUCUGAUGGAAUACCUCUCCCGGUUUGGAGAAGUUUUAGACUGCACCAUUAAGACCGACCCUGUUACUGGCCGCUCACGGGGCUUUGGCUUUGUCCUCUUCAAGGAUGCGAUCAGUGUGGAUAGGGUGUUGGAGAUCAAGGAACACAAGCUUGAUGGAAAACUCAUUGACCCUAAAAGAGCAAAGGCCUUAAAGGGGAAGGAGCCUCCAAAGAAAGUGUUUGUUGGUGGCCUGAGCCCAGACACGACGGAGGAGCAGAUCAGAGAUUAUUUUGGAGGCUUUGGAGACAUUGAAAGCGUUGAACUUCCAACAGACCCAAAAACUAACGAGAGGAGAGGGUUUUGUUUUAUUACAUAUGUGUAUGAAGAGCCAGUGAAGAAGCUUUUGGAAAGCAGAUACCAUCAGAUUGGCUCAGGAAAGUGUGAAAUCAAAGUUGCACAACCCAAAGAACUCUACAGACAACAGCAGCAGCAAGGAGGAAGAGGGGCAUCAAAUGGUCGCGGAGGUGGACGAGGGAGAGGCAGAGGAGGCCAAGGACAAAGCUGGAAUCAAGGGUACAAUAACUACUAUGAUCAAGGAUAUGGAAACUACAGCAGCGGUGCCUACAGUGAUCCUAGCUACAGUAACUAUGGCGGAUAUGACUAUUACGGAAACUAUAGUGGUUACAGCAACCCAAGUUACACAGACUACAGUGGUCAACAAAGUACAUAUGGAAAAGCGUCAAGGGGAGGUGGCAACCACCAGAACAACUACCAGCCAUACUGAGGUCUAGCAGCUUCACAUAAGCGGGAACUUCAUUGCAGGCCGUGUGUCACCCUGACCACGUCUAUCUCUGGGGUCGCACGUUGUGGGCAGAGCGCAAGGCGUACACCAGAAACCGCUGUCCUGUGGAGCGGAGGACUGGCAACACAAGUCAUCCAGGCUGGCGAUAGAUCUACACAUGUGUGUGAGGACUUGUGUACAAGGCACGGUGGUGUCUUGCUGUAAAUAUUACCCCCCCCCACCACCACCUUUUUUAUGGCUUAUUUCCCCAUCUGUAUACAGUGCUUUUAUGUUCAUCCACUUGUGUGUAAAACUAUUUGUAACCAUAAAUUGUGACUUUCACUGCAUCCAGUGUUUGCCAUUUGUAAUAAAAGGUUAAAAAACU